UAGUAGCGGCGAGCGAACGGGGAGCAGCCCUUAAGCUGUUUAGAAUUUAGUGGAAUCCUUUGGGAAGAGGAGCGAUACAAGGUGAUAGCCCUGUACACGACGGAUUCUUUACAGUGAAAUCGAGUAGGUCGGGACACGUGUUAUCUUGACUGAAUGUGGGGGGACCAUCCUCCAAGGCUAAAUACUACUAACUGACCGAUAGUGAACCAGUACCGUGAGGGAAAGGCGAAAAGAACCCCUGUGAGGGGAGUGAAAUAGAACCUGAAACCGUAUGCGUACAAGCAGUAGGAGCAGACUUGUUCUGUGACUGCGUACCUUUUGUAUAAUGGGUCAGCGACUUAUGUUCAGUGGCGAGGUUAACCGUUUAGGGGAGCCGUAGGGAAACCGAGUCUGAAUAGGGCGAUUUAGUCGCUGGGCAUAGACCCGAAACCGGGCGAUCUAUCCAUGAGCAGGUUGAAGGUGCCGUAACAGGCACUGGAGGACCGAACCCACUGUCGUUGAAAAGCCAGGGGAUGACUUGUGGAUCGGAGUGAAAGGCUAAUCAAGCCCGGAGAUAGCUGGUUCUCCUCGAAAGCUAUUUAGGUAGCGCCUCGGACGAAUACCACAGGGGGUAGAGCACUGUUUCGGCUAGGGGGUCAUCCCGACUUACCAACCCGAUGCAAACUCCGAAUACCUGUGAGUACUAUCCGGGAGACACACGGCGGGUGCUAACGUCCGUCGUGAAGAGGGAAACAACCCAGACCGCCAGCUAAGGUCCCCAAGUACCAGUUAAGUGGGAAACGAUGUGGGAAGGCUCAGACAGCUAGGAGGUUGGCUUAGAAGCAGCCAUCCUUUAAAGAUAGCGUAACAGCUCACUGGUCUAAAUAAGUUAUCCUGCGGCGAAGAUGUAACGGGGCUCAAGCCAUGAGCCGAAGCUUAGGAUGCCGUAAGGCAUGGUAGCAGAGCGUAGUGUG
rnacentral:rRNA from 1 species